UACGUAGGAGGCAAGCGUUGUCCGGAAUUACUGGGCGUAAAGCGCGUGUAGGUGGUGGGACAAGUCUGCUGUGAAAGCGCCUGGCUUAACCGGGCGAGGUCGGCGGAAACUGUUCGACUCGAGGACGGUAGAGGGUGGUGGAAUUCCGGGUGUAGUGGUGAAAUGCGUAGAGAUCCGGAGGAACACCAGUGGCGAAAGCGGCCACCUGGACUGCACCUGACGCUGAAACGCGAAAGCUAGGGGAGCGAACGGG
rnacentral:rRNA from 1 species